rnacentral:rRNA from 1 species
CGAACGGGUGAGUAAUACAUCAGGAACGUGCCCAAUCGUGGGGGAUAACGCAGCGAAAGCUGUGCUAAUACCGCAUACGAUCUACGGAUGAAAGCAGGGGAUCGCAAGACCUUGCGCGAAUGGAGCGGCCGAUGGCAGAUUAGGUAGUUGGUGAGGUAAAGGCUCACCAAGCCUUCGAUCUGUAGCUGGUCUGAGAGGACGACCAGCCACACUGGGACUGAGACACGGCCCAGACUCCUACGGGAGGCAGCAGUGGGGAAUUUUGGACAAUGGGCGAAAGCCUGAUCCAGCCAUGCCGCGUGCAGGAUGAAGGCCUUCGGGUUGUAAACUGCUUUUGUACGGAACGAAACGGUCUUUUCUAAUACAGAAGGCUAAUGACGGUACCGUAAGAAUAAGCACCGGCUAACUACGUGCCAGCAGCCGCGGUAAUACGUAGGGUGCAAGCGUUAAUCGGAAUUACUGGGCGUAAAGCGUGCGCAGGCGGUUAUGUAAGACAGUUGUGAAAUCCCCGGGCUCAACCUGGGAACUGCAUCUGUGACUGCAUAGCUAGAGUACGGUAGAGGGGGAUGGAAUUCCGCGUGUAGCAGUGAAAUGCGUAGAUAUGCGGAGGAACACCGAUGGCGAAGGCAAUCCCCUGGACCUGUACUGACGCUCAUGCACGAGAGCGUGGGGAGCAAACAAGAUUAGAUACCCUGGUAGUCCACGCCCU